GAAAUGCGAUAAGUAAUGUGAAUUGCAGAAUUCAGUGAAUCAUCGAAUCUUUGAACGCACAUUGCGCCCGCCAGUAUUCUGGCGGGCAUGCCUGUUCGAGCGUCAUUACAACCCUCAGGCCCCCGGGCCUGGCGUUGGGGAUCGGCGGAAGCCCCCUGCGGGCACAACGCCGUCCCCCAAAUACAGUGGCGGUCCCGCCGCAGCUUCCAUUGCGUAGUAGCUAACACCUCGCAACUGGAGAGCGGCGCGGCCACGCCGUAAAACACCCAACUUCUGAAUGUUGACCUCGAAUCAGGUAGGAAUACCCGCUGAACUUAUGC
rnacentral:misc_RNA from 1 species